GACGAACGCUGGCGGCGUGCUUAACACAUGCAAGUCGAACGAUGAACCCGGAGCUUGCUCCGGUGGAUUAGUGGCGAACGGGUGAGUAACACGUGAGUAACCUGCCCUUGACUCUGGGAUAACUGCGGGAAACUGUAGCUAAUACCGGAUACGACCCUCGGCGGCAUCGCCAGGGGGUGGAAAGAAUUUCGGUCAAGGAUGGACUCGCGGCCUAUCAGCUAGUUGGUGAGGUAACGGCUCACCACGGCGACGACGGGUAGCCGGCCUGAGAGGGUGAACGGCCACACGGGGACUGAGACACGGCCCAGACGCGUACGGGAGGCAGCAGUGGGGAAUAUUGCACAAUGGGCGCGAGCCUGAUGCAGCAACGCCGCGUGAGGGAUGGCGGCCUUCGGGUUGUAAACCUCUUUUAGUAGGGAAGAAGCGAAAGUGACGGUACCUGCAGAAAAGGCACCGGCUAACUACGUGCCAGCCGCCGCAGUAA
rnacentral:rRNA from 1 species